rnacentral:lncRNA from 13 species
CCAAGAGGUAGCUAACAUGUAAGUUUCCUGGGGCUGCCGUAACAAACUAUGCUAAACUAGGAGGCCUAAAACAAGGGAAAUGUAUUCUUUCACAGUUCUAAAGCCUACAAGUCUGAAAUCAAGGUGUCAGCUGAACCAAAGUGAUUGAAGGCUCUCUUUCUUGCUUCUCUAGCUCCUGGUGGUUGCCAGCAAUCUUUGGCCUCCCUUUGACAUUCAUCGGUUUGUAGAUGUUUUGCUCCAAUUCCUGCUGGCAUCACAUGGCAUUCUUCUGGUCUUGUCUUAUUGCAUUGCUAAGACAUCCAGCAUGGUGUUGCAGAGAAGUGACAGAGGACUUGUUCCCUUCUUAAGGAGAGAUGUAUUUAGACUCAUCAUGAGAAUAAUGUACAGAGCCCUCUCUUUGACUGUCAUCUGGCUGAAUGCAGAGGAUCCAGUAGGAGCGACAAGGAGGGCCUAGGAGAUGGUGGAGCCAAAGGAUAGAAGGAGCCUGAAUGCUGAGUUGCCACUUUACGGGAGAGCUGCCCAGAAAAGUGACCUGACCAGGAACGUCUGGAUCUGUGACCUGCCAUUUUGCUUUGCUGUGCCUGCAAGUGUGUGAAGAAACAGAAUCUUCAAAUUUAUGUGAAAAAUAAACUUUUAUUGUUCCAAG